UUAUGUUCUACAACAAUUACAGCUAAACACUUAAUCUGAACUAUAUGUUCCCAGCGUGUUUGACCGCGCGCACACACUUAUGUGUACAUUGUGAGUUCUGCACAAGUGGAAUAAAGAAAAGAGAAAACACAAAA